CCCUGCCUGCUCCAAUAAAAUUGGAUACACUGUCUUUCUCAGCUAUCGAACAAUAAAGUCUAGGUGUCGAAUUUGACUUAUUGGCAGUAGUAGUUAAUUGUAGCGCCAUUCAAUAUACAACUGACCAAAGCAAGCAUUUUCGAAAAGCAAUUGUCAUACACUAGAGCAAGAAACCUUUCCUAUUUACUAUAUGGGGUGAUCUAGCCGACAAUGAAGGAGCUGAAUUACUAUACCAUCUACAUGAGUACCCUGUCAUUUUUGCGAGAUGUAAGGCGUUAUUGAAUUCUGUGGUGGUAUAUUCAUUAGCCCAUCUUCUGCAACUCUUCUUUUUACUUUUUGUUUCUCUAUAUUGAAUUAAAAAAGCUUUCCUCUCUUUCACAUACGCAGCUCUAAGACUAG